UCCUUUUGACAUGUUAAUAUCUCAGAAAUGGAGGGUCAUGUGACUUAUUUUGUUCACCAUUGUGUAGAGCAUAUCUCAAAUACCCUAACACAAGCAAUAACUCAAUUUUGACAAAAUUGUCAGUCGCUUCCUUUUGUCAAAGUAGGGCAGAAUGGUUGGGACAUGGCUGUA